rnacentral:lncRNA from 1 species
CAGGUCCUUCCCACAAUAAAAGUGGAGGCCCAGCUGGCGACCCGCAGGAAGGCCUCGUCUAUGGUGGAUUCUGAUUGGCUAGACUGAGAUCAGGUUUCACAGUCAUGUUUAGAAGUCCAGGAAACUUUGCUCCUGUGAUAUAUUCCGUAUGCUACAACAUUCCCAGUGGAACCGAACAACUAAAAAGAACACCCAUGUGCUUGGAG